rnacentral:rRNA from 1 species
CGUCACAGAGGGUGAGAAUCCCGUGCGAUGAGAUGAUCCAGGCCUAUGUAAAGUUCCUUCGAAGAGUCGAGUUGUUUGGGAAUGCAGCUCUAAGUGGGUGGUAAAUUCCAUCUAAAGCUAAAUAUUGGCGAGAGACCGAUAGCGAACAAGUACAGUGAUGGAAAGAUGAAAAGAACUUUGAAAAGAGAGUGAAAAAGUACGUGAAAUUGUUGAAAGGGAAGGGCUUGAGAUCAGACUUGGUAUUUUGUAUGUUACUUCUUCGGGGGUGGCCUCUACAGUUUAUCGGGCCAGCAUCAGUUUGGGCGGUAGGAGAAUUGCGUUGGAAUGUGGCACGGCUUCGGUUGUGUGUUAUAGCCUUCGUCGAUACUGCCAGCCUAGACUGA